AGCGAACGCUGGCGGCAGGCUUAACACAUGCAAGUCGAGCGGGCCCUUCGGGGUCAGCGGCAGACGGGUGAGUAACACGUGGGAACGUACCCUUUGGUUCGGAAUAACGCUGGGAAACUAGCGCUAAUACCGGAUACGCCCUUUUGGGGAAAGGCUUGCUGCCGAAGGAUCGGCCCGCGUCUGAUUAGCUAGUUGGUGGGGUGAUGGCCUACCAAGGCGACGAUCAGUAGCUGGUCUGAGAGGAUGAUCAGCCACACUGGGACUGAGACACGGCCCAGACUCCUACGGGAAGCAGCAGUGGGGAAUAUUGGACAAUGGGCGCAAGCCUGAUCCAGCCAUGCCGCGUGAGUGAUGAAGGCCUUAGGGUUGUAAAGCUCUUUUGUCCGGGACGAUAAUGACGGUACCGGAAGAAUAAGCCCCGGCUAACUUCGUG
rnacentral:rRNA from 1 species